rnacentral:sRNA from 1 species
CCCACUUCCAGCCAGACAUAAUCCCUCCAAGUACUGUAUGUACCAUCAGCAGCGCGGUCAUGGCACCGACCGUUGCUACCGCUUUCGUCAUGAGGUCCAAAAUCUCAUCGACAAUCGGACGAUAGCUCCACCUUCAGCCCCCGAUGACCAAGUACCUCAUCCACAUCUCAAUCUGAUCCACACACUGGCCGUCUCUUACGACCCCAGCGUAUACAUCACCCCGGCCCAUCUACCCAAGCCUGAGGUGUUUAUCCCGGAAAGCAUGGACUUAUGCAUGAUGGGUGCAUCUGAACCCUAAUUAUCUCAAACCCGUGAACCCACUACUUCUGAGCUGAUGAAGAUGAUCGAAGAUCUUCAGAGAACUGUGGCAGAUC